rnacentral:rRNA from 1 species
UACGUAGGGAGCAAGCGUUGUCCGGAAUCAUUGGGCGUAAAGCGCGCUAGUGGCGCUCAUAAGUCCGCUGUGAAAGUCAAAGGCUCAACCUUUGAAAGCCGGUGGAUACUGUGAGGCUAGAGUACGGAAGAGGCGAGUGGAAUUCCUGGUGUAGCGGUGGAAUGCGCAGAUAUCAGGAGGAACACCAAUAGCGAAGGCAGCUCGCUGGGACGUUACUGACACUGAGACGCGAAAGCGUGGGGAGCAAACAGG